UGCAAGUGAUGUUUUUCUCACGAUGGUCUUCCAAGCCUUAUGGUUGUGACGAAACUGCUAUGGCAACCAAACUGAUGCAGUCCU
ensembl:snoRNA small nucleolar RNA SNORD35